rnacentral:rRNA from 1 species
AUUGAACGCUGGCGGCAUGCCUUACACAUGCAAGUCGAACGGUAACAGGUCUUCGGAUGCUGACGAGUGGCGAACGGGUGAGUAAUAUUUCGGAACGUGCCCAGUAGUGGGGGAUAGCCCGGCGAAAGCCGGAUUAAUACCGCAUACGACCUGAGGGUGAAAGGGGGGGAUUCGCAAGAACCUCUCGCUAUUGGAGCGGCCGAUAUCAGAUUAGGUAGUUGGUGGGGUAAAGGCCUACCAAGCCUGCGAUCUGUAGUUGGUCUGAGAGGACGACCAGCCACACUGGGAGUGAGACACGGCCCAGACUCCUACGGGAGGCAGCAGUGGGGAAUUUUGGACAAUGGGCGCAAGCCUGAUCCAGCAAUGCCGCGUGCAGGAAGAAGGCCUUCGGGUUGUAAACUGCUUUUGUCAGGGAAGAAAUCCUCUGGGUUAAUACCUCGGGGGGAUGACGGUACCUGAAGAAUAAGCACCGGCUAACUACGUGCCAGCAGCCGCCGUAACAC